rnacentral:rRNA from 1 species
CACGUAAGGGGCGAGCGUUGUUCGGAAUUAUUGGGCGUAAAGGGCGCGUAGGCGGCCGCGUAAGUCUGAUGUGAAAUGUCCAAGCUCAACUUGGGAACUGCAUUGGAAACUGCGGGGCUUGAGUCACGGAGGGGAAGCCGGAAUUCCUGGUGUAGGGGUGAAAUCUGUAGAUAUCAGGAAGAACACCGAUGGCGAAGGCAGGCUUCCAGCCGAUGACUGACGCUGAGGCGCGAAAGUGCGGGGAG